AGAGUUUGAUCAUGGCUCAGGACGAACGCUGGCGGCGUGCCUAACACAUGCAAGUCGAGCGGGGAGAGAUUUUCGGAUUUCUCUUUAGCGGCGGACGGGUGAGUAACACGUGGGUAACCUGCCUCAAAGAGGGGGAUAGCCUUCCGAAAGGAAGAUUAAUACCGCAUAAUAUCAGGGAGCUGCAUGGCAUUCUGAUCAAAGGAGCAAUCCGCUUUGAGAUGGACCCGCGGCGCAUUAGCUAGUUGGUGAGGUAACGGCCCACCAAGGCGACGAUGCGUAGCCGACCUGAGAGGGUGAUCGGCCACAUUGGAACUGAGACACGGUCCAGACUCCUACGGGAGGCAGCAGUGGGGAAUAUUGCACAAUGGGGGAAACCCUGAUGCAGCAACGCCGCGUGAGUGAUGAAGGCCUUCGGGUCGUAAAGCUCUUUGAUCAGGGACGAUAAUGACGGUACCUGAAAAACAAGCCACGGCUAACUACGUGCCAGCAGCCGCGGUAAUACGUAGGUGGCGAGCGUUGUCCGGAUUUACUGGGCGUAAAGAAUGCGUAGGUGGAUAUUUAAGUGGGAUGUGAAAUCCCCGGGCUCAACCCGGGAACUGCAUACCAAACUGGAUAUCUGGAGUGCAGGAGAGGAAAGCGGAAUUCCUAGUGUAGCGGUGAAAUGCGUAGAUAUUAGGAGGAACACCAGUGGCGAAGGCGGCUUUCUGGACUGUAACUGACACUGAGGCAUGAAAGCGUGGGGAGCAAACAGGAUUAGAUACCCUGGUAGUCCACGCCGUAAACUAUGGGUACUAGGUGUAGGGGUAUCGACUCCCCCUG
rnacentral:rRNA from 1 species